GCCGUUGAAUUUAUGUAUAAAAGACCUAACUUAACCUAACCUAAUCGCAAUCUCCUUCUCUUCUCUUCUGCGGCCUCUCCCUCUUCUGAGUCUUCUCUCCUUCUCAGACAGACUCAUCUCCAUCCAAGUCUCCAACUCCAUUCUUUUUUCUUCUCUCAGUCUCAGAUUCUCUUUGUGGAUCAUCGGCAUCACCAGAAGCAAACCAAUAACGGAAGGGUUUGUCAAGAUUGAAGAACUGAAGUUCAGUUCAUUGGAGCUUGAAGAAGAACUGGUCAGAGACUCAGAGUUGGUUUAAGAAGAACUAAGAAGGGUUUGUCAAGAUUGAAGAACUGAAGUUCAGUUCAUUAGAGUUUGAAGAAGAA